GUACACGCUGUGACUAGCAUAUCAAUAAGCGGAGGAAAAGAAACUAACAAGGAUUCCCCUAGUAACGGCGAGUGAAGCGGGAAGAAGCUCAAAUUUGAAAUCUUAAAGGGUUUCCCUUUACGAAUUGUAGUUUAAAGAAGUGUUUUCUGUUGAGGUUUUGGUAAAAGUUCUUUGGAAUAGGACAUCAUAGAGGGUGAGAAUCCCGUAUUUGACCUUUACUUUCAACUUUGUGAUACACUUUCAAAGAGUCGGAUUGUUUGGGAAUGCAGUCCAUAAUGGGUGGUAAAUUUCAUCUAAAGCUAAAUAUUGGCGAGAGACCGAUAGCGAACAAGUACCGUGAGGGAAAGAUGAAAAGAACUUUGAAAAGAGAGUUAAACAGUACGUGAAAUUGUCAAAAGGGAAGCGUUUGACACCAGUGUUGUUUUUCUGAAAAUCAAUUAAAGAACUGUUUAUGCUAAGUUGUUUAGACUUUAUCAGCUAACUGUUUAGUUUUGAGCUUUUCUUUAAUGCACUUUUCAGUUAACAAGUCAACAUCAAUUUCUUUUGCUGUAAAAAAGCUUGAGGAAGGUGGCUUGAGAUUCGUCUUAAGUGUUUAUAGCCUCUUGCCUAUGCAGUCGGAGAGAUUGAGGUCUGCAGCGUAGAUCCUUCGGGGCUAAAUGCAUUUGUGCUAAGUUAUAGCAUUUUAUAGACAACUUGUUGACUAUGAUUUGUCUUGUAGCUUACUCGCUUAUGUUAUUUUACCUACGCUUAGGAUGUUGAGUCGUAGAGCACGCAG
rnacentral:rRNA from 1 species